UGGGAAGUGGGGAACGCCUCUGCCCAGCU
rnacentral:piRNA from 1 species